rnacentral:tRNA from 1 species
GCUAGUUCAAAUCUAGCUCAGAGAG